rnacentral:tRNA from 1 species
GCCUGGGUGGUGAAAUUGGUAGACACGCACGCUUGAGGGGCGUGUGGCGCGAGCUGUGCUGGUUCAAGUCCAGUCCCAGGCACCA